rnacentral:rRNA from 1 species
GGGCAAAGGUCGAGCGGCAGGAAGCAAGCUGAUCCCCUUCGGGGGUGACGCUUGUGGAAUGAGCGGCGGACGGGUGAGUAACACGUGGGCAACCUGCCUGUAAGACCGGAAUAACCCCGGGAAACCGGGGCUAAUGCCGGGUAACACCUUCCCUCGCAUGAGGGAGGGUUAAAAGAUGGCUUCUCGCUAUCACUUACAGAUGGGCCCGCGGCGCAUUAGCUAGUUGGUGAGGUAACGGCUCACCAAGGCAACGAUGCGUAGCCGACCUGAGAGGGUGAUCGGCCACACUGGGACUGAGACACGGCCCAGACUCCUACGGGAGGCAGCAGUAGGGAAUCUUCCGCAAUGGACGAAAGUCUGACGGAGCAACGCCGCGUGAACGAUGAAGGUCUUCGGAUCGUAAAGUUCUGUUGUUAGGGAAGAACAAGUGCCGUGCGAAUAGAGCGGCACCUUGACGGUACCUAACGAGGAAGCCCCGGCUAACUACGUGCCAGCAGCCGCGGUAAUACGUAGGGGGCAAGCGUUGUCCGGAAUUAUUGGGCGUAAAGCGCGCGCAGGCGGUUCCUUAAGUCUGAUGUGAAAGCCCACGGCUCAACCGUGGAGGGUCAUUGGAAACUGGGGAACUUGAGGACAGAAGAGGAGAGUGGAAUUCCACGUGUAGCGGUGAAAUGCGUAGAUAUGUGGAGGAACACCAGUGGCGAAGGCGACUCUCUGGUCUGUUUCUGACGCUGAGGUGCGAAAGCGUGGGUAGCAAACAGGAUUAGAUACCCUGGUAGUCCACGCCGUAACGAUGAGUGCUAGGUGUUAGGGGGCUUCCACCCCUUAGUGCUGAAGUUAACGCAUUAAGCAC